GAUUUUGGGGCACUUAACAAAACUUUCCUUACAACCUGGAAAACUUGUCGACUGGAAUCAAUCUCGGAGGUGGAUCAUGUUAUACUCAUAAAACUAUUAGGCAGUUCCUUGCAGUGAUGUCUGAAAAUGGAGUUCGAAACUUAAAAGUACAUUAAAAUAGUAAAGGAAGGCAUACACUAGAAAGGUAAUCUCUGUUUACAUCAGCGAAAAGUGUUUCAACUAAACAAUUAUUCUUUGUUUAUAGAUCUAUUUGUAGAUCACAAUUUCAGCCAAUUGAAGAGGUACGACUGGCAGAAAUACAGCGUUAAUAAAGUUGAUAAAUGGCGUCAUGGAAGCGUGGAGUUCACCUUACUUUGUACUUCCAUUUUUCACUACAUGCCUCAAAAAUUUUACUGUAUCUUUUCUAUACGCUGUCAAUUUUUUUCAUAAAAUGUUGGUAUGUUUAAAGAAAUAAGUCGAUGAAGGGAGGAAGCUUAAGGUAUAACGAAAGAUACAAGCUUUCUCUGCUGCCUUAAUUUUCAAGAAUUUUUAAGGUUUGCCGUUUCUUCAAAACAUUGUUUUAUCUCUUUCAACAAUCAUUUUUUAAUGCAAUCUCUCUUUUUAUUUAGUUUUUAAAU